CUGUCUACUGCGCAUGCUUGAGCCUGGGUCGCGCGCCGACUCUGCCGGGCGCCCAUCCGUAACGGAGUUAAGUUCUCCGGGUUUUCUCGGCUGCACGGGUGUGGGACCCAGGUGGAAGAACAGCGAGGGGAGGCGAGCAGGUGAUCUGCUGUGUGCCAGAUUCUUCUAGGAUCUCAGGAUCCCUAAUAGAGAAAGAAAAACCACUGCU